UACAGAGGGUGCGAGCGUUGUCCGGAAUCACUGGGCGUAAAGGGCGCGUAGGCGGCUUGAUAAGCGUGCGGUGAAAGCCCGGGGCUCAACCCCGGGUCGGCCGUGCGAACUGUCGAGCUGGAGCACUGUAGAGGCAGGUGGAAUUCCCGGUGUAGUGGUGGAAUGCGUAGAUAUCGGGAGGAACACCAGUGGCGAAGGCGGUUGCCUGGGGCUUUGCUGACGCUGAUGCGCGAAAGCGUGGGGAGCGAUCCGG
rnacentral:rRNA from 1 species